rnacentral:rRNA from 1 species
GAUGAACGCUAGCGGCAGGCCUAAUACAUGCAAGUCGAGCGGUAAGGCUCUUUCGGGAGUACACGAGCGUCGCACGGGUGCGUAACGCGUAUGCAACCUACCCCUUAGAGAGGGAUAGCCACUAGAAAUGGUGAUUAAUACCUCAUAACACUUCGAGAUCACAUGUUUUUGAAGUUAAAUGUUCCGGCGCUAAGGGAUGGGCAUGCGUGACAUUAGCUAGUUGGUAAGGUAACGGCUUACCAAGGCUACGAUGUCUAACUGGUCUGAGAGGAUGAUCAGUCACACUGGCACUGAGACACGGGCCAG